rnacentral:rRNA from 1 species
GACGAGGGACCUAGCGUUGUUCGGAAUCAUUGGGCGUAAAGAGUAUGUAGGCGGCCUUGUAAGUCAGUUGUGAAAGCCCCGGGCUCAACCCGGGAAGUGCAAUUGAUACUGCUUGGCUUGAAUGUGGAAGAGGGCAGUAGAAUUCCAGGUGUAGUGGUGAAAUACGUAGAUAUCUGGAGGAACACCAACGGCGAAGGCAGCUCUCUGGGACGUAACUGACGGCUGAGACGCGAAAGCGUGGGGAGCAAACAG